GAUGAACGCUGGCGGCGUGCUUAACACAUGCAAGUCGAACGAAGCACUUUAUUACAAUUUCUUCGGAAUGACGAUUUAGUGACUGAGUGGCGGACGGGUGAGUAACGCGUGGGUAACCUGCCUUAUACAGGGGGAUAACAGUUAGAAAUGACUGCUAAUACCGCAUAAGCGCACGGUAUCGCAUGAUACAGUGUGAAAAACUCCGGUGGUACAAGAUGGACCCGCGUCUGAUUAGCUGGUUGGUGAGGUAACGGCCCACCAAGGCAACGAUCGGUAGCCGGACUGAGAGGUUGAACGGCCACAUUGGGACUGAGACACGGCCCAGACUCCUACGGGAGGCAGCAGUGGGGAAUAUUGCACAAUGGGGGAAACCCUGAUGCAGCGACACCGCGUGGAGGAAGAAGGUCUUCGGAUUGUAAACUCCUGUUGUUGAGGAAGAUAAUGACGGUACUCAACAAGGAAGUGACGGCUAACUACGUG
rnacentral:rRNA from 1 species